CAACAUUUCGGACAAUGUCAAUUUGUUAGCAUUUAUUGAAUUGUGAAUUAUUAAAGCGCACAAAUUGAAAACGCAACUGUAUGAGAGCCGGGACAGAAGUUGCAGAGUCCCCGUACCUACAUAUGUGGCUAUCUUACAGAAAUACCAUAUUGUAUACAGAGCACAAAGCGCACAAAGGCAGAGUCGAUUUAGCAAAAUAAGAAAAGAAGCCAACGAAAUCGAAGGUGAAUCUCAUCUGGAAACGCUUCAAGCGAGACCCAUAAUCUUGGGUAACAUAAGUCCGAAGAAUACAUAUGUAGAAUAUUUAUUUUAAAACUUAUAUGUACAAGGAUACUCGUCCAUGCGAGUUCCUAAUGAGUUGAGACCCGAAAGCGGGGAUUUUGAAGCUAGUAUAAAGUAAUCAUAUAGAUUUAUGCCUAUGCGCGAAUAUACUCUGUUCCGGAUAAGUCGAGCUGGCUUGGGGCACCUUCAUAAAAGUCCAAUCAGACCACAACCAGAAACACCACAAACUUCACUUAUGGGAGGGUUUCUGGUCGUGGGCAUUGAGUGCCAAAAUAAAUGCCAAUGAAAGCGGGAAAUAAAUGCAAACACACGCACACACUCCCUCGGCCUCACACACACGCUCGCACAGAGCCAUUCACAUACACAAUAUUCGAAUAGAUUGAAAGGAAAUACUACAAAAUGUAUUAGUUGAGAGGGAGAAGGAGAAUGCGGUUUGUGGCUUGAGUUCUUGUUAUCCUUGCUAGUUGCGUAUGAAUUCAACAAAUUUAAUAAGCAAAUAGAGCGAAAAGUGCAGAGACUGCGAAAUAAGCCGUCAUUGA